rfam:Picea glauca, whole genome shotgun sequence.
UUAUAUGUACAUGCCUACAAAGUUAAUGCAUCGGAUCCCAUUAUAAAUCCAUAGUUAAGAGCACUUGGACUAGAUUAGUACUAGGAUGAGUGACCUAGUGUUUAGAACUAGAAUUCUUAGUGU